CAGUCGCCGCGGUAAUACGGAGGGUGCAAGCGUUAAUCGGAAUUACUGGGCGUAAAGCGCACGCAGGCGGUCUGACAAGUCAGAUGUGAAAUCCCCGGGCUUAACCUGGGAACUGCAUUUGAAACUGUCAGGCUGGAGUCUUGUAGAGGGGGGUGGAAUUCCAGGUGUAGCGGUGAAAUGCGUAGAGAUCUGGAGGAAUACCGGUGGCGAAGGCGGCCCCCUGGACAAAGACUGACGCUCAGGUGCGAAAGCGUGGGGAGCAAACAGGAUUAGAUACCCGUGUAGUCCCUGUCUCUUAUAU
rnacentral:rRNA from 1 species